rnacentral:rRNA from 1 species
CUGGCGGCGUGCCUAACACAUGCAAGUCGAACGAGAAAGUGGAGCAAUCCAUGAGUAAAGUGGCGACCGGGUGAGUAACACGUGACUAACCUACCUCCGAGUGGGGAAUAACUCCGGGAAACCGGGGCUAAUACCGCAUAACAUCGCGAGAUCAAAGCAGCAAUGCGCUUGGAGAGGGGGUCGCGGCUGAUUAGCUAGUUGGCGGGGUAACGGCCCACCAAGGCGAAGAUCGGUAUCCGGCCUGAGAGGGCGCACGGACACACUGGAACUGAAACACGGUCCAGACUCCUACGGGAGGCAGCAGUGGGGAAUUUUGCGCAAUGGGGGAAACCCUGACGCAGCAACGCCGCGUGGAGGAUGAAGCCCUUUGGGGCGUAAACUCCUUUCGACCAAGACGAUAAUGACGGUACUGGUGGAAGAAGCACCGGCUAACUCUGUGCCAGCAGCCGCGGUAAUACAGAGGGUGCAAGCGUUGUUCGGAAUUAUUGGGCGUAAAGGGCGCGUANGCGGUGCCACAAGUCACUUGUGAAAUCUCCGGGCUUAACUCGGAGUCUGCAGGCGAAACUGUGGUGCUGGAGUGUGG